UUGUAUACAUCUAAACUUUUCUGUUGAGACUCCAUCUCUGAAUAGCAGAAAUAUCAAAUACAAAAGCUCGAAAAUAAUUUGGUAUCAAAGCAUCCAUCACAAAAAUAUCAAAAAUCAGAAGCAUCAAUCUUUGGAGUAGUUCAUUCAACAACCUCCUGGGAGAAAAUAAAAUAGAUCACGUUAGCAAUCUACCAGACGGGGUUCUCUGUCAUAUUCUGUCUUUGCUUACUACAAAGGAGGCUGCUUUGACAUCAAUUCUCGCCAUUUGUCCCUUCUCUUACUAUUGAUAACUCUGUGUUUCUUCAUCCGGAAGAGGGUAAGCGGGAUAGAGAAGACAUUAAACAGAGCUUCAUGGACUUUGUGGAUAGAGUUUUGGUGCUGCAGGGUAACUCUCCACUUAAAAAAUUAUCCCUUUGAGUAUGCUCCUGUGGCUGACACAGAUCGACUGGAUGGUUGGAUAAGCAGUGUGUUAGCACGUGGUGUUUCGGAUCUUGAUCUAAAUAUCGUUCUGCAUCUUGAUCUAAAGAUCCCUGGGGAUUACUAUCAGCUGAAAAUAAACUAUGGGAUUGGUGUUGGUUGGGUUGCUGGUCGCGUUUUCUUACCGUUGCUUAAAACUCUGAUUCUUGACACAGUUCCCGUUUGUCCACGUGAGUUUGAGAUUCUGCUUCAUGCUCUACCUUCCCUUGAGGAAUUGGUUCUGACUCAUGUAGUGUGGAAAGGUAUGGAUGUCACAGUGUCAAGUGCGAGCCUCAAGACCCUAACAAUAAACUCAAUCUUUGUUUUCAACGCUUUAUCAUUUGAUACGCCAAGUCUCCUUCACUUUGAGUGCUCUGGUUUUGUUGCAUCGGACUAUCCACUAGUUAAUAUGGGAAACUUGGUUGAUGCUCAAAUCGACUUCUUCUUAAGUCAACUGCAUAUCAAGCAACUUAGAGAACCAGAUCUUGAUUGGUUUGACAACCAAGUUGCUCUCCGGUUUAGUAAUAGGUGGAAUUGAGGUCUUGUCAUACGAAAUGUGUGGAAUUUCUUUCAUGGCUUACGAAAUGCUCGGAAUCUUGACUUGUUUCCUGAUACUCUUGAGGUGCUUUCUAUGUGUGAUGAAUCGAUGCCAGUCUUCAACAACCUCAAAUCAUUAGCUAUUGAGAGUCACAAGUCUAGAGGAUGGCAAGCAAUGCCAGCUCUUCUAAGGAACUGUCCAAAUUUAGAAACUCUUGUCAUUAAGAUAAUAAAAACAACUAACAUGUAUUCUAUAGUCCAUGUUUAAUACUUUGAAUCUUCUCUUAAUGGGUCUCCUUUGUACCUUUAGGGUCUCGUGCACCGUGUGACAGAUAAGUGUGGGGAUGUUUGCUGCUGCAUCUCUCGGGAGGACAAAGGACUUUCACUCACACUUUGUCCAGUAAAAGUGAUGAAGGUCCAUGGGUUUCAAGGAACAAUGGAAGAGAUGGCGAUGAUAAAGCAUUUCUUGGACUAUUUUCCAUGUUUGAAGGAGAUGGAGGUCUAUGCUGCUGAAGAGAAUAAUAAUCCUACACGGGUAGGAGGAAACCAACGUGUCUUGGAGAUGUUCGAACUCUACAACAAGUUAUCGAGUUGCAAUGUCCAGCUCCGCAUAUGAAGAAGAAAAACCAUAAUCCUAGUUUUUUUUUUUUUCGCCUGCAGUUUAAGUUUGUGUUUUAACUUUGCUUGAAAACCUGUCUCAAAUUCAACUAAGACUGUAGUUUCUUCUUCUUGCUUGUAAUCUGAAUCAUUUACUUUUAUUGAUGGAUUGCUUUCCUUUGAUUC